ACUCAUUGAUGAUUCUCAGCCAGCAGAGUAGUAGGUAGUUUUAAAACCAUUACCAAAGUAAACUCCCAUUCACCUUUUACCUGCUCACAUUGCCUCAUUUAAAGCCUUUGUUUUUGAAAGUACGUAAUAGCCCUGAAAGAAGGUUUUUUAUGUCUCAUCUGUUGCUCCAAAAGAAGCGAAGAACUAGCUUGUUAACCUGCCGUGUAAUCCCUGCACAGACCACAGCUCUUUUCAGUGGGAAGCCAGGCUCUGCCAAGAUCGGGGAGGAUUGCAGUUUAAACAUUACAGGGUCAAGUUCAGCGUUUGUUCCAUUCACAGAACUCCCGUUGGCAUCAAAGGCGCUUCUGUGCAGAGUGGGAUUUCGUGCUCAGUGACAUGAUUUCUGGAAGGUCUUCUAUUUUGCCAGAGUGUACUCCACAAAGAAUGAUUUAUAAACCUAUCUGCAGCAACUGGGAAGAAUCUUCAGUAUCAUUACAGAUUCAUCUGUUUGUGGACAAUUAACAGGAGCGUGUUUCUUCGAGCCACUCACGCCGAUCCUUCAGAUGCUGAAGGCUCACAUUGGGAAGAGUUAUACAGGAAUCCUGCUCGCGGAGGCUAUUUUCCUAAAUAAAAUGCCAUAAUAAGUUCAUUUAAAAUGAAGAAUGCUGUUUCAAGAGCUGUCAAAGAAAUGGAAAAUUUGGAAGCACUGAAAACUCACUAUUGAAAGAAAUGUGAACAACAAACUAACAGUAUGAGGGGCCAGCAAGAUGCUCAGUGAGCAAAGGGCCUUGC